CCUAAUACAUGCAAGUCGAGCGGACAGAUGGGAGCUUGCUCCCUGAUGUUAGCGGCGGACGGGUGAGUAACACGUGGGUAACCUGCCUGUAAGACUGGGAUAACUCCGGGAAACCGGGGCUAAUACCGGAUGCUUGUUUGAACCGCAUGGUUCAAACAUAAAAGGUGGCUUCGGCUACCACUUACAGAUGGACCCGCGGCGCAUUAGCUAGUUGGUGAGGUAAUGGCUCACCAAGGCGACGAUGCGUAGCCGACCUGAGAGGGUGAUCGGCCACACUGGGACUGAGACACGGCCCAGACUCCUACGGGAGGCAGCAGUAGGGAAUCUUCCGCAAUGGACGAAAGUCUGACGGAGCAACGCCGCGUGAGUGAUGAAGGUUUUC
rnacentral:rRNA from 1 species